rnacentral:tRNA from 2 species
CGCGGGGUGGAGCAGUCUGGUAGCUCGUCGGGCUCAUAACCCGAAGGUCACAGGUUCAAAUCCUGUCCCCGCUACUA